UGGCUCAGUGGUAGAGUGCUUGCCUUGAAUGCAUGAGGUCUUAGGUUCAAUUCCUCA
rnacentral:tRNA from 1 species